AAUAAUGGAGACAUCUAUGAGAUACACCGAAAACAUCAAUUUUCCAGCACUUUUUACAAGCAUUUUUAUUCUGAUACUUGUUUGGUUGUAUGUUACAAUUAAAAAAAUUUAUAACAGGUUGAAUAAAGGCAAUGACAUGGUACCACUUGUUUCAACAAUAAAAAAAAUUAUUCCUCCUCAUAUCAAUAGUGGAUGGCAGGUAUGCAGUGUUUCUAAUUCGAUACCUAUAUGGAAAUAUGAUGUUACUUUCACAUUUGCUCCAAAAAACCUUUACUGCUGUCGUAUAUUGCUUCAAAAAAAUUC
rnacentral:lncRNA from 1 species